rnacentral:tRNA from 1 species
GCGCUGAGUAGUAGAAAUGAAUACAGGGGUUGGAAACCACAAAUGAACACUCUUCCCAUGGG